rnacentral:rRNA from 1 species
AGCAGCCGCGGUAAUUCCAGCUCCAAUAGCGUAUAUUAAAGUUGUUGCAGUUAAAAAGCUCGUAGUUGAAUUUCGGGAUCAAUAUUUCGGUCAUGCCGUUGGUAUGCACUGUUAUCAUUGAUUUCUCACCUUCUAAAGAACCGUAAUGCCAUUAAUUUGGUGUUACGGGGAAUUAGGACUGUUACUUUGAAAAAUUAGAGUGUUUAAAGCAGGCUUUAGCUUGAAUACAUUAGCAUGGAAUAAUGAAAUAGGACGUUCGAACCUAUUUUGUUGGUUUCUAGGAUCAACGUAAUGAUUAAUAGGGAUAGUUGGGGGCAUUAGUAUUCAAUUGUCAGAGGUGAAAUUCUUGGAUUUAUUGAAGACUAACUACUGCGAAAGCAUUUGCCAAGGAUGUUUUCAUUAAUCAAGAACGAAAGUUAGGGGAUCGAAGACGAUCAGAUACCGUCGUAG